GGCCCUAUCGUCUAACGGUUAGGACACGGCCCUUUCAAGGCCGUUAUUGGAGUUCGAGUCUCCAUAGGGUCACCA
rnacentral:tRNA from 1 species